GUGGAGCCUGGAGACUUCUUUGGGAAGUCCUGUUGCCAGGCACUCUGCCCCUGGGGGUGUGCAAAGGGUUGUCUAGUUACCUUGAUCUUCUCACAGCCUCCUCCCCAGGGUACUGGCAGAGACCAGGAUUGGAGGACGGUAAAGAACACACUUCCCAGAGGAUCCUUGGAGGUGGCUUUCUCCAGGCAGUAAAUCUACAGCCCAGGCUCCCUGCAUCUUGUGGCUCACUUUAGAUCUCAUCGUCACCUGCACAUUGCCAUACACAGGGAAGGAGAGAAGAUGGAGAAGGCAAAGACUUUCUGAAAGCCGUGGCUAAAAACUGGCAUGCGUCACAUCAGCUCACAUUCCAUUGUAGAGAUGGGGUUUCACCGUGUUAGCCAGGAUGGUCUUGAUCUCCUGACCUCGUGAUCCGCCCACCUGGGCCUCCCAAAGUGCUGGGAUUACAGGCGUGAGCCACCGCGCCCCGCCUGGCAGGCAUUAUUGUGGCAAACGGGAAAUGGGGUAAGUUACACAAUCAAUACAGCUCCGUCAUCGUAGUUUAAUUACUUUUCCACGCACCAUGUAUUCUGACAGGUAGAACGAUCAGCCUGGGCCUCCGUUUUUCAUUCUACAAAGAAUGAAGUACAUGAACUGUCCUCUAUAGAAUUGUGGAAAAAGUUGUUUCUAUUGAGUUGUGGUUAUCUUUGUCUUCAUGGUCUAAUUACGGAAAUAAAUGCUUUUCCGAAUCUCCGAGGCUGGUCUGCCCUGGUCCAGCUCUCUGGAGUGUCUUCCUGGGUUUUGCCUCAGUGAAUGGGAGAAACACUGGCAGCACGUGUGGUCUGCACCAAGAACUGAAUCGAAUUUCCAUGUGUUAUUGAAUGUUCACAAAGACCUUGUACAGCGAAUGUUACUGCCUCUGGUCAAUGAUUCAUCUCAAGGCUCAGAAAAGUCAAGUGUCUCGUCCAGGGACACUUAGUCAGAAGUGAAUCCAAGGUUUAAGCUCAUAUCUGCCUAACUCUGAAUUUCACAGCCUUUUGCUACAUAUGGAGAAUAAUAUAUCCCUGAGUAGUAAAGACAGACUCCAAGGAUCUUGUCUCUGCAAUCAUCAUUCUGGCCAUAAUUUAUGAAAAGCAACCCAAAGUAUGUGAUGGAAUAAAAAGUACUAUCUAUGAGUUAACCCUUCCAAAAACUGAACUGAAUUCUGAGCUCUAAAUUUGGAAUCAAAAGAACUUUUCUCUGCACUAAUCAUUUGAAACAUCACUUAAAGAAAACAACCAAAAACUGGUGCCCCCUGAGAGAAAGCAAUAGAAAGUAUUAUGCAUAAAGUAAUCCUUCCAAAAAAUAAACCAAAUCCAGUCAAAUCUCUAGUUUUGACUCCUAACUUACAGGAAAUAUGUGAUGGGAAAAAAACGAAAUGACACCACCAUGAUUUAAUCAGCCAAAUCCAGAAUAUGAAAAUUUCUACCAGACAAAUGGUUUAGUUUCUUCCACAAACAAAUGGCACAAGGAAACGGAGAUGGAGUUUCCCUCUGCCACCCAGACUGGAGUACAGUGGCGCGAUCCUGGCCAUCGCAACCUCCACUUCCCAGAUCCCUCCUACAACACAUGAGAAUUGUGGGUGCUGCAAUUCAAGAUGAGAUUUGGGUGGGGACAAAGCCAAACCAUAUCAUUAGAUAAGACACUGGAGAAAGGCAAGAAAGAAAAGACAUCUGAAGAAUGAAGGGAGCCAAAGAAAUGCCAACAUUUUGCUUUUUGAAGAAAAGCUAAAUUAAAGUCAAAAUGGAUUUAUCAAUUUCCUUGGGUUCAUGAAUGUACAGAACUUUAUUAAGACUGUCAUGCUGUCAUCAUGACUGGAUCUGAUACGGCCACCGUGGACCUUGAGGUGACCUUGGGAAUGGAGAGAGUGCAUGGGAGAGAAUCACAUUGGAAGGGGCCUGGGUUCCUGAAGACCCCGUGAGUCAGAUCCCCUUGAAGCCCUGACUGCCCACAUUAGGGCUUUUAUGUUGGGGUGAAAUUACCUUGCAUUGUCAUAUAAGCAAUUGCUGUUUGUGGUGUCUUGCAAAUAAACCUAUUCUGAUCUAGUAUAUUUCCUAAAAAA